GAUGAACGCUGGCGGCGUGCCUAAUACAUGCAAGUCGAGCGAACAGACGAGGAGCUUGCUCCUCUGACGUUAGCGGCGGACGGGUGAGUAACACGUGGAUAACCUACCUAUAAGACUGGGAUAACUUCGGGAAACCGGAGCUAAUACCGGAUAAUAUAUUGAACGGCAUGGAUCAAUAGUGAAAGACGGUUUUGCUGUCACUAAUAGAUGGAUCCGCGCCGCAUUAGCUAGUUGGUAAGGUAACGGCUUACCAAGGCAACGAUGCGUAGCCGACCUGAGAGGGUGAUCGGCCACACUGGAACUGAGACACGGUCCAGACUCCUACGGGAGGCAGCAGUAGGGAAUCUUCCGCAAUGGGCGAAAGCCUGACGGAGCAACGCCGCGUGAGUGAUGAAGGUCUUCGGAUCGUAAAACUCUGUUAUUAGGGAAGAACAAAUGUGUAAGUAACUAUGCACGUCUUGACGGUACCUAAUCAGAAAGCCACGGCUAACUACGUG
rnacentral:rRNA from 1 species